UACGUAGGGGGCAAGCGUUGUCCGGAUUUAUUGGGCGUAAAGAGCGUGUAGGCGGCUUUGCAAGUCCGUUGUGAAAACUCGAGGCUCAACCUCGAGACGCCGGUGGAAACUGCAAAGCUAGAGUCCGGAAGAGGAGAGUGGAACUCCUGGUGUAGCGGUGAAAUGCGCAGAUAUCAGGAAGAACACCCGUGGCGAAGGCGGCUCUCUGGGACGGUACUGACGCUGAGACGCGAAAGCGUGGGGAGCGAACAGG
rnacentral:rRNA from 1 species